rnacentral:rRNA from 1 species
CCUACGGGAGGCAGCAGUGAGGAAUAUUGGUCAAUGGGCGCAAGCCUGAACCAGCCAUGCCGCGUGCAGGAAGAAUGCCCUCUGGGUUGUAAACUGCUUUUAUUUGGGAAUAAACCUUUUUACGUGUAGAAAGCUGAAGGUACCAAAUGAAUAAGCACCGGCUAACUCCGUGCCAGCAGCCGCGGUAAUACGGAGGGUGCAAGCGUUAUCCGGAAUCAUUGGGUUUAAAGGGUCCGCAGGCGGAUUUAUAAGUCAGUGGUGAAAUCUCUCGGCUUAACCGAGAAACUGCCAUUGAUACUGUAAGUCUUGAAUUCGGUCGAAGUGGGCGGAAUGUGUAGUGUAGCGGUGAAAUGCAUAGAUAUUACACAGAACACCGAUAGCGAAGGCAGCUCACUAGGCCUGGAUUGACGCUCAGGGACGAAAGCGUGGGGAUCAAACAGGAUUAGAUACCCUGGUAGUCCACGCUGUAAACGAUGAUUACUCGUUUUCGGCGAUAUACAGUCGGAGACUAAGCGAAAGUGAUAAGUAAUCCACCUGGGGAGUACGAUCGCAAGGUUGAAACUUAAAGGAAUUGACGG